rnacentral:rRNA from 1 species
AACGCUGGCGGCGCGCCUAACACAUGCAAGUCGAACGAGCGAGAGAGAGCUUGCUUUCUCGAGCGAGUGGCGAACGGGUGAGUAACGCGUGAGGAACCUGCCUCAAAGAGGGGGACAACAGUUGGAAACGACUGCUAAUACCGCAUAAGCCCACGACCCGGCAUCGGGUUGAGGGAAAAGGAGCAAAUCCGCUUUGAGAUGGCCUCGCGUCCGAUUAGCUAGUUGGUGAGGUAAAUUGGGCCCACCAAGGCGACGAUCGGUAGCCGGACUGAGAGGUUGAACGGCCACAUUGGGACUGAGACACGGCCCAGACUCCUACGGGAGGCAGCAGUGGGGGAUAUUGCGCAAUGGGGGAAACCCUGACGCAGCAACGCCGCGUGAAGGAUGAAGGUCUUCGGAUUGUAAACUUCUUUUAUUAAGGACGAAGAAAGUGACGGUACUUAAUGAAUAAGCUCCGGCUAACUACGUG